AAUAAAAUAGGAACUAAAUUUGAGGUAUAGGGGAGAAAAAGAAAAAAGUAAACGACAGAAGUGAAAGUGAAAACGAAAUGAAACAACGGCAAAGAACAAAUGCGAAGAAAAGCAAAAAAGUCUAUCAGCUUUUUGUAAAUGUAGGUCGCAUAAACUGAUAGGCUUUCCUAUAAACUGAAACAUGAAUGUUUGCAAUCGUUAGGAUAUUAGUAAUUAUGAAAUGAUGCAGCAUUUUGUAGAACUCUUGUCAUUUUCCGAAUCCCGAACUGUUAGUGCUGCCCUAGUAGCAGCUUCAAAUACAUCGUCCACGCCGUCACCAGUCAAUGAAGAACAUUCCAUAUACUUUCUCGCACCAAUCCGCUGAGCUACUAAUUCAGCCUGAUAUCAAGAAUUAGUAUUCACGUGUUUGAAUUAUUAAUAUAUACCUGUUGUGAUUUUACAAAAUUUUGAUUUCGACGUCGCAUUUCUUCAAUAGCAACGGGAUCUGACCUUAAGUCGGCUUUCAUGCCCACUAAAAUAAACGGAACAUUUGGGCAAAGUGUAUUAAUUUCCUCAAUCCACUAUAUAAUGUUAAUGACUGGAAAAAACAAUUAAUGAAACGAACCUUCGUAGAAACAUUUUCAAGUGAAUCAGGAGAGUCUAUCGCAAACCCAACCAAAAUAAUGUGUGCUUUAGCGUAAGACAUUGGUCUUAAUCUCUGCAUUGGGUUAACGACGUAUUUCUCACUAUUAAUAACGAAACAAACCUCAUAUUCCUCUUG